AUUGAACGCUGGCGGCAGGCCUAACACAUGCAAGUCGAACGGUAACAGGAAGAAGCUUGCUUCUUUGCUGACGAGUGGCGGACGGGUGAGUAAUGUCUGGGAAACUGCCUGAUGGAGGGGGAUAACUACUGGAAACGGUAGCUAAUACCGCAUAAUGUCGCAAGACCAAAGAGGGGGACCUUCGGGCCUCUUGCCAUCGGAUGUGCCCAGAUGGGAUUAGCUAGUAGGUGGGGUAACGGCUCACCUAGGCGACGAUCUCUAGCUGGUCUGAGAGGAUGACCAGCCACACUGGAACUGAGACACGGUCCAGACUCCUACGGGAGGCAGCAGUGGGGAAUAUUGCACAAUGGGCGCAAGCCUGAUGCAGCUAUGCCGCGUGUAUGAAGAAGGCCUUCGGGUUGUAAAGUACUUUCAGCGGGGAGGAAGGGAGUAAAGUUAAUACCUUUGCUCAUUGACGUUACCCGCAGAAGAAGCACCGGCUAACUCCGUG
rnacentral:rRNA from 1 species